rnacentral:rRNA from 1 species
ACCUACGGGGCGCAGCAGAAGGGAAUCUUCGGCAAUGGGGGGAACCCUGACCGAGCAACGCCGCGUGAGUGAAGAAGGUUUUCGGAUCGUAAAGAUCUGUUGUAAGAGAAGAACGUUAGCGGGAGUGGAAAAUCCGCUAAGUGACGGUACAUUACCAGAAAGGGACGGCUAACUACGUGCCAGCAGCCGCGGUAAUACGUAGGUCCCGAGCGUUGUCCGGAUUUAUUGGGCGUAAAGCGAGCGCAGGCGGUUUGAUAAGCAAGAAGAAAAAGGGUGUGGCGCAACCAUAGUAC